GGGUGACGAGCGGCGGACGGGUGAGUAAUGUCUGGGAAUCUGCCUGAUGGAGGGGGAUAACUACUGGAAACGGUAGCUAAUACCGCAUAACGUCUUAAGACCAAAGUGGGGGACCUUCGGGCCUCAUGCCAUCAGAUGUGCCCAGAUGGGAUUAGCUAGUAGGUGGGGUAAUGGCUCACCUAGGCGACGAUCCCUAGCUGGUCUGAGAGGAUGACCAGCCACACUGGAACUGAGACACGGUCCAGACUCCUACGGGAGGCAGCAGUGGGGAAUAUUGCACAAUGGGCGCAAGCCUGAUGCAGCCAUGCCGCGUGUAUGAAGAAGGCCUUCGGGUUGUAAAGUACUUUCAGCGAGGAGGAAGGCAUUAAGGUUAAUAACCUUAGUGAUUGACGUUACUCGCAGAAGAAGCACCGGCUAACUCCGUGCCAGCAGCCGCGGUAAUACGGAGGGUGCAAGCGUUAAUCGGAAUUACUGGGCGUAAAGCGCACGCAGGCGGUCUGUUAAGUCGAUGUGAAAUCCCCGGGCUCAACCUGGGAACUGCAUUCGAAACUGGCAAGCUAGAGUCUUGUAGAGGGGGGUAGAAUUCCAGGUGUAGCGGUGAAAUGCGUAGAGAUCUGGAGGAACCGGUGGCGAAGGCGGCCCCCUGGACAAAGACUGACGCUCAG
rnacentral:rRNA from 1 species